rnacentral:misc_RNA from 1 species
GUGAAUCAUCGAAUUUUUGAACGCAAAUUGCACUCCCCUCGGAGAGCAUGACUGUUUGAGGGUCAGCCUCUGAAAAUUCGACAUCGUUGCUGUUUUGCGGACGCGUUCGUCGGCAAUUGGGUUAUCUUAAAUCUCUUGGUUUUAAGCGACUUAAAAUUUUCUUUUUGGUUGAAUGAACGUUUCUAAGAUCUAUUUCUUUACACGUUUAAGGUAUCGAUUUUUAUUAGAUGUGACUAUCAUUUCGGAUUGCGU